AAGUGAGAUGCUCCCCCUAAACACCAACACAGCAGUCAUGUACCUUUCAAGGGGUUCAGGGGCAAGAUGGGCAAGGCAUUUCUACUAACUCUUCUUAAGGACCCUGGACAGUGCCCUAUGCUACGAGACUGGUGUUUCAUCUUGACGAGUUCUCUGUCAGUCCGUAGGAAAGCUGUCUGGCUUGGAGGUUGCAAUCCCAGGGAAUUUUUCAUCAGCGGGGAAGUCUCCAUCACUACAGAGGAAUCAAGGGAGAAGUCAGUCCCUGACUGGUGUUUCAUCUUGACGAGUUCUCUGUCAGUCCGUAGGAAAGCUGUCUGGCUUGGAGGUUGCAAUCCCAGGGAAUUUUUCAUCAGCGGGGAAGUCUCCAUCACUACAGAGGAAUCAAGGGAGAAGUCAGUCCCUGGGAAGUGAGAUGCUCCCCCUAAAGACCAACACAGCAGUCGUGUACCUUUCAAGGGGUUCAGGGGCAAGCUGGGCAAGGCAUUUCUACUAACUCUUCUUAAGGACCAUAGACAGUGCCCUAUGCUACGAGGGAAGUGACAGGCGGCUAUGCCCCUGAUUUGGAAUCUGAGACGGUGUUCCCUGAGCAAGGCUGGCAGAAAGCGAUGGAUAGAGAGGGACCAUGUUAUUGGCGUCUGAAGUUUUAUCAUACUGGGCUGCCAUAAACACGGAGGAAGCAGCUGUGUGCCGGUCAGUGAGUGCCAGAGUAAAGUCUCCGAGUGAAGAAGAAUUCUUUUCAGUGCUUCCUGUGAUGUCCCACUCAAGAACACCUGGAUAGGAAGGAGCUGAAGUGGAGAUCUGGCUGUGGUCAGUAACUCCAGAUAACAUAGUCGUG